rnacentral:rRNA from 1 species
AGAGUUUGAUCAUGGCUCAGAACGAACGCUGGCGGCAGGCUUAACACAUGCAAGUCGAACGGUUGUAGCAAUACAGCAGUGGCAGGCGGGUGAGUAACACGUGGGAACCUUCCUAGGGGUACGGAACAACUCAGGGAAACUUGAGCUAAUACCGUAUACGUCCGUGAGGAGAAAGUUUUAACGCCCCUAGACGGGCCCGCGUAGGAUUAGGUAGUUGGUGAGGUAACGGCUCACCAAGCCUACGAUCCUUAGCUGAUCUGAGAGGAUGAUCAGCCACACUGGGACUGAGACACGGCCCAGACUCCUACGGGAGGCAGCAGUGGGGAAUCUUGGACAAUGGGCGCAAGCCUGAUCCAGCCAUGCCGCGUGAGUGAAGAAGGCCUUCGGGUUGUAAAGCUCUUUUACCAGGGACGAUAAUGACGGUACCUGAGAAUA